rnacentral:rRNA from 1 species
AUGAACGCUGGCGGCGUGCCUAAUACAUGCCAGUCGAGCGGACGGACGAGAAGCUUGCUUCUCUGAUGUUAGCGGCGGACGGGUGAGUAACACGUGGACAACCUACCUAUAAGACUGGGAUAACUUCGGGAAACCGUAGCUAAUACCGGAUAAUAUUUUGAACCGCAUGGUUCAAAAGUGAAAGACGGUCUUGCUGUCACUUAUAGAUGGAUCCGCGCUGCAUUAGCUAGUUGGUAAGGUAACGGCUUACCAAGGCAACGAUGCAUAGCCGACCUGAGAGGGUGAUCGGCCACACUGGAACUGAGACACGGUCCAGACUCCUACGGGAGGCAGCAGUAGGGAAUCUUCCGCAAUGGGCGAAAGCCUGACGGAGCAACGCCGCGUGAGUGAUGAAGGUCUUCGGAUCGUAAAACUCUGUUAUUAGGGAAGAACAUAUGUGUAAGUAACUGUGCACAUCUUGACGGUACCUAAUCAGAAAGCCACGGCUAACUACGUG